rnacentral:rRNA from 1 species
UACGUAGGCAGCAAGCGUUGUUCGGAAUUACUGGGCGUAAAGAGUGUGUAGGCGGUGCUCCAAGUCUGUUGUGAAAUCUCCCGGCUUAACUGGGAGGGUGCGGCGGAAACUGGAGUGCUAGAGGGUGGGAGAGGAAAGCGGAAUUCCUGGUGUAGCGGUGAAAUGCGUAGAUAUCAGGAGGAACACCUGCGGUGUAGACAGCUUUCUGGACCACUUCUGACGCUGAGACACGAAAGCGUGGGUAGCAAACAGG